rnacentral:rRNA from 1 species
GAUGAACGCUGGCGGCGUGCCUAAUACAUGCAAGUCGAGCGAACAGACGAGGAGCUUGCUCCUCUGACGUUAGCGGCGGACGGGUGAGUAACACGUGGAUAACCUACCUAUAAGACUGGGAUAACUUCGGGAAACCGGAGCUAAUACCGGAUAAUAUAUUGAACCGCAUGGUUCAAUAGUGAAAGACGGUUUUGCUGUCACUUAUAGAUGGAUCCGCGCCGCAUUAGCUAGUUGGUAAGGUAACGGCUUACCAAGGCAACGAUGCGUAGCCGACCUGAGAGGGUGAUCGGCCACACUGGAACUGAGACACGGUCCAGACUCCUACGGGAGGCAGCAGUAGGGAAUCUUCCGCAAUGGGCGAAAGCCUGACGGAGCAACGCCGCGUGAGUGAUGAAGGUCUUCGGAUCGUAAAACUCUGUUAUUAGGGAAGAACAAAUGUGUAAGUAACUAUGCACGUCUUGACGGUACCUAAUCAGAAAGCCACGACUAACUACGUGC